rnacentral:ncRNA from 1 species
AAUCGUCUGCCGCCGGGUGGACUUAAGGCAUUGUUUCGCAUCGUUAGGCCAUAGUAGAUGCGAAAACGGUGCUUUUAUUUUUU